UUCCCGGGGUCUGGCCAGCUCCUGCUGCCACCCGGGGCUGCCCCCCAGCAGGACAGCUCUGCUGGGGAAUAGAAAAGCUCUGCAUGGAAGCUGAUAGAAGCCAGAGGAGCCCAAGUCAUUUCAGGUUGAAGAGAAAUGUUAAAGACAGCAGGAAAAGCAAACAUUAGUGGUAGCCAUGAGGCUAAGGGGAAUAGGAAGGGCUUUUACAAAUAUAUCAAGGGGAAAAGGAAAUACUGGAGAGUCAAGACAAAGUAGGCCCAUUAAUAAAUGAGGAAGGAUAUUAAAUUAAU